ACACCUUACUGACUGACUUAUUGCCUGAGGGUCUGACCGACUCACUGAUUGACUCUUUUGUUUGGUUGAUUCAUGUCGACGUCACCAGAAAUGCUAUGGCCCAAACCUUGAGAAUCAUUAAUGCUGGGACGAAUUUAAUCCCCCAACACAGUCUUUUCAUCAUCUUAAUAUUUCAAACCCAGCUUUCUUUACCAAACAUGGUGUAGUAGACUUAUCAUAUUUCCGACUAACCAAUUCCAUGUUGAUGAGGAUACCUGAUCCACUAUAAACCACCAAGUUUUAGGGCUUGUUCGCGCGUAUGAGAUAGCUGACGUGGCGUGCUCUUUUAUCAUGCUAUUUAAUAAAUGUUUAAUCCAAGAGAACACAGAUUACUACUUUAGUAGCGGGGGGGGACGCGUGCGCGUGAGGGAGGGACUGAGAGGGAGAGCGCGUGCGUGAGCGAGCGUGAGUGAGGGAGAAGGCGAAGCGUGGAAACGUACAGCGCGCGCACCGUCACCACGGAGCAGCGCUUUGAUCUCCAAAGCUCAGGACGAGGCAGCAGAUUUUCUGUCCGGUCAAACGCUCUAUAGAAUCUUUAGUUUCACGCCCCUCAACGGUUGUAGGCUUCCUGGCUGUGAGGUUGAUGAGGAUUUUUCAAGCCGUUAAAAACGUUUGAAUGCAGUUAUCAACAGCGGAAAGUGCUGCAUACGUGACGGAACAAGGACGGGACUUGGACGUCGGCACCCUACAGUAUAUCAAGGUCAAGAAAACAUGUGUUAACCAGGACCGCUCUCCCCUCACUUGAUGACUUUAUUGCUCCCGUCGAGCUUUCCACUUGAUAAAUAAGCGCUCUCUUCUCCUUCCUCUCCUUCUCCUCUCUCCUUCACAACCUCCUGGCAGUUUGUUUUGUGGAG
ensembl:lncRNA